GCCAUGAUUGCCCAGCCGAAGUAUCUCUAACUUUCCUGCCAGCUCUAACAUCCUAUAUGAGUCUGUGUUUAUUAUCCCUGCUCUUAAAGCCUGUAACCUUAGCCAGGCUAAAUCUCCCUGUUUGGGAGAGUUAUUCCAGGACUGAGACUUGGGGUGCCCAGUGCCGAGAGCCCAGCUAGAGAUGUGGGCCGUGGAGACCCUGUGAAUCGCUGAAGCUUAGAGCCCGCUCCAGCCGGGUGCUGCUCUCCAAGGUGCUGCUGCCUUACGCGCCGUCUUGUACUUGUCCUGCGCAUUCACUCCUGAAGACCAGUGGCUUGGGAAGGUGGGCGGUUUAUUGUCCCCAUUAUCUCCUCCAGCCCAUCCUCAUUGGUCAGUAUGGAUAAUUGACAUUUUUCUCAGCCUCAAGUAAAUCGCUAUGCAAACAGACCUUCAAGCUCCCCUACUUUCCAACCAGAUCACCAGCCCUUGACCCUCCUCUCAAACUUCUGGAGCUGCCUCCCCAGUGAUAGAGGGCCAGACUCCAUGGGCACCAGGACUUGGGAAGGGGAGAACAGGAGAGUUCUUUUCUUCACCUCAGUCCUGCUGGGCUAACAUUUGUGAUUGUCACUAGCGUUCACUCUAAUGUAUCUCUGGCUCUAGAAUUUCAAGUUCUACUUAGUGACUCCUAUCUCAAGGUAGCUUCCCAGUGUGGUCAAGGAAGAGGUUUGAGCUUCAGAGCCCAGUUGCAAGGUUCUUCUCUGAGCUGAACAAUGGCUGUAGCUGUAGACCAACAAAUUCAGACUCCUCAAGUGCAAGAAGAACUUUGAAUCGUGAAGCUGGAAGAGGAUUCCCACUGGGAGCAGGAAAUUUCCCUUCAAGGGAGUGACCCUGGACCAGAGACCUCCUGCCAGCGUUUCUGGCAUUUCUGCUAUCAAGAAACAUCCAGACCCCAGGAGGCCCUCAUCCAACUCCGGAAGCUCUGUCAUCAGUGGCUGAGACCAGAGAAGUGUACAAAAGAGCAGAUCCUGGAGUUGCUCGUGCUGGAACAGUUCCUGACUGUCCUUCCUCAGGAGAUCCAGAUCUGGGUUAGAUAGAAGCAUCCAGAGAGUGGGAAGGAGGCCGUGGCUCUGGUGGAAGACUUGCAGAAAGAACCUGGAAGAUGGGGGCUCCAGUCCUUGAACGGGGGCAGGAGGUAUACUCAGAGGAGAAGGAAGCUCCAGGAUCAGCACUGGGUUCCCUGAGGAGCCGUCUGAAGCAAGCACGGACAGGACCCACGUGUCUGUUACCGGCGAUGGUGAAGAACUCACAGCCAGAACCAGAGCCGUUGACUCACAGCCCCAUGGUGGAACUCUGAUCCUUCCACAAGAGCGCCCUGCCUGAUCCUCCGGCUCUGGGUCUUUCCGUGGAGGAAAGCGGUGGUGACCAGGGGAUGAUGGGCCCCUCCCAGGAGUUGACGACAUUCGGUGAUGUGGCUAUGUAUAUCUCCCAGGAGGCACGGAGGCAGCCAGAACCUGGGGGGAGGAAACACGUGGAAAGAAGUUGGGAGAAAUCUGCAAAUGGGGCCUCGAUGGUGCCAGCUCCUGCAGGGAGCAGGAGAAAACCCCACAGAACCCAGAUCUUCAGCGCCCCAGAGAGGCGGAGAGCGCCAGGGACUCCGCAGCAGGUGGGGGAAGAGUCCAGCCUGGCCACUUGCCCGUCCCAAGAAAAGCCAAGACCUGGGAGGAGCUGGAGUGGCAGGGCCUGGAGGAUGAGAAGGCGGCAGCGGUGCACUAGGGCUUUGAGGAAACUAAGAUUUUUGGGGGGAAUUCUCAGUGAGUUCUGGAUCCGUGAGAAAUUGCGCACCUGCCACCGAGCCGCCAGGUGUACCGGCUGGUGGCUGAUCGGCUGCGCGAGAGCAGCUUCCCGCGGACCCUGGAACAGUGUUGCGACUGCUUCAGAAACCUCCAGACCCACUACCGCAGAGCCAGGAGCAGCCGGGCGCCGGGCACCUGCCCCUUCUACCAGGAGAUGGACGCCCUGAUGGGCCCCUGGACCCUUGCCGGCACCUUUGAUGCCUUAGAGGUGGCAGGAGGCCUUCUGCGGGACAGAGGGGACUCCGAA